rnacentral:tRNA from 1 species
CUGCCCGUAGCUCAGCUGGAUAGAGCAACGGCCUUCUAAGCCGUAGGUCACAGGUUCGACCCCUGUCGGGCAGG